rnacentral:lncRNA from 1 species
UACCUUCCGACUAGCCAUUUUAAGUGAGGUCCUAAGUUGUUAUAUAUGGUAUCAGAAUAGACCUGAGCCAUAACCUAUGUAGACUAGGGGACACUGCAGCACGGAUCUAUUGGAGCUAACCACAAACCGAUUAUAGUAUUUGUGAUUAGAUUUGAAUCCUUAGCCUGACGAGGAUAUCAGGACUUGAACGGAGAAGUAUGUGAGGACUCGUGCGGGCGUGUAUUUAGUCCCACAUCGGUUUUUCACUGGGUAGAUCUUGGGUACUUAUACAGGAUUAAGGAACCCAAAUAAUACCUUCCGGCUAGCUAUUUUAAAUAAGAUCCUAAGUUGUUACAGGCUAUUAGCAAGCAAAAUAAUUAGUUAAGGAAACCGAGAGGAUAAAGAACUAAACCUGCCUCUAGAAUUUUCCUUGAACUUAAUUGUAAGAGCACUCAUUAAGGUUUGCUUAACAUUAUCCGAUCUAGGCUAAUAAAUUAAGGGCCACGCUUUUUUGAUUUCUUAGCAGAGCCAUUCCAAUAUUUUCGUGGUGAGAGGUGGUUGUCUCAUGCGUGGUCCUAUAAGCACAAUGUGGCUGCUUUUCUUUCUUUCGAUUUUUGCUCAUAAAUAGUGUCAUCCAACGAGUACAUGUCUUAAUGACAUCACCGGGCCCAUAGUGACGUUAGCUAGAUCUCCUUUCUGGAAAAAAUUAUAUCCUGCACCAGGUGUACCAAUAUAACUGCUAUAAUAUGUAGCCUUUUUUACCACCUCAGUGUAAGGCUAAAUAAAAAAAAAAAGAGUGGAUUUGGCUAAGCCUCUGCCCCUUCUUAUGAAAGAAUAGAAUCCUAACCAAGCGCUCGAGGGAAUGAAACAUAGAAAUAGAGUGCAUGGAUAGCUUCUAGAGUUGUGACGGUUUGGAGCACUCCGAUUCC